CGUGAGGAACGGGACAGAAAUGUGAACAAGAGUGAAAAAAAAACCACAAGAAUAUAAACGAGUGUCUUAUAAUAAAGCAGAUUAACAGUGAAUAGUUAUAAUAGUAUAUUUGAAGAUCAGUUCUAGCAGAGAACCAUGCAGGAUAUUAAAAAAAAAAUGAAUAAAUAAAAAUACAACCAGUGUGUUAGAGGGAAAGACGGAAUGCGUUUGGGAAGAAGAGAGACACGGCAGGCUGCAGAGGCAGGAUUUCUCCUGAAAAGUGGAAAACAAAGCUGUGAUAAUACCUUGAAACUGGUGGAGCUCCACGCAGAUCAGGACGCAGCUGCUUACUACUGUAUACGCUCACCGACGUCAGGCAGAAUAGCGCUGCUAAUUGCUGCAUCUGCAGAGGUAAUCAGUGUUUUUGAAUUAACCUUACCAAUUACAAAAUCACACACCGAGGUUGUUUUUUUUUUCCUUCCUUUUUUUAAGCAUCGAGCUAAUUAGCAGAACUCGGAAUUAAUGUAAUCAACAAGGCGUCUAUACUGUAUAUAAUUAACAUUUUCCCAGUGAAGUCAUGCAGUAUACCCGUGUGGGAAUAAAUUUAAGACACAGAAUUGAACCAGUAUUGAAUUCUGAUCAUCAUUUGUAUCUAAACUUGGCUAAAGCUAGCAAAUUUAAAUCUACCAAUAGGAAAAGAAAUACUGAAAUAUAUGUUUCAACAUACAUUGCAGAGAACAAUACAAGAAGUGCUACCAUACGAGAUCUAUUAAUUGAAUUCCAGAAGAACUUAACACACACAAUAUCUUUAUCAAUAGGAAUAAAACAGUCCAUGUUGUGCUGUUAUGGGAAAAUAAUCCACAGCAGUUGAAUUACUGUUACCAUGCUGAACAUUCCUGAACAUUUUAUUCCCCUUAUUAUACUACAGCAAGUUGACAAUGAUUACAACGUUUAAAUUUACCAACAACAACAACAACAACAUUAUGAAGUAACAAGAUGUGAAGUUAAUGUUUUGGAAUCUUCAAUAAAGUUAAUGUUUUUGGAAUGGCCUUGACUUUAAUCCAAUAGAAAUGUUGUGGAAGCACCUGAAGUAAGCAGUCCAUGUGAGGAAACACACCAUCAUCCCAGAGUUGAAGCUGUUCUGUACUGAACGGGCUGAAAUUCCUCCAAGCCGAUGUGCGGGACCGAUCAACAGUUACCGCAAACAUUUAG
ensembl:lncRNA